rnacentral:lncRNA from 1 species
CGUGGCUCUGGCCGCAGGACUCCGACCAAGAUGACGAUCCCAGGGAUCAGGAGCGGACCGGUCACCUCUGCUAAGGCGCGGGAACCUGUCGAUCCUGCAUAAGUGACACCUGAGGAUCUCUCUGUCUGCUGGAUGUGGUUUAUGGAUCUGGGCCAUGGAGGAGAUGCCAACCUUUGACCUGCGUCAGCUGAAGAAGCCUGAUGUUUAGCACAUGUUGAAGGGUUGGUCCUCAACCCUGGUUCCAGGUGCCUCAUGUCCAAAUAAACACACGGUGUGUAGGCUACUGUAUACCCUUACAGUCCUGUCCCAUCGCUGCAACUCCAGUACGGACUCGGGAGAGGCGAAGGUCAAGAGCAAUGCGUCCCCAGAGACAACCCUGCCAAGCCGCACUGCUUCUUGACUCACUGCCUGCUUAACCCGGAUGCCAGCCGCACCAAUGUGUUGGAGGAAACACCUAACCAAUGGUGAUCAUAGUCAGCGUGCAGGCGCCCGGCCCGCCACAAGGAGUCCCUAGAGCUCGAUGGGACAACGACGUCCUGGCUGGCCAAACCCUACCCUGAACCGGACAAUUGUACACCAUACAGCCUUGAAUUCCAUUUCGUUCAGUUUUUUUUCUGUUAGCUCAAUGCGCAGUUUCUAGAGAUAAAUCAGAUUAAGCCCGAACUGUGCGAUGUUGUAGGGAGUUGUAGUUUCCAACAGACCAAUAUUCUACAUAGUUUAGCGCUGAAAAUGUGUGGAAUUAACUGCAAUGACCAUAAUCCAUUGCGCGCCCAGUUACUUGUCCAGUAUGUGUGGAGCAGACAUGGAGAAGGAGAGAGGAGAGAAAAGGCGAUCAAGAGGGAUAGAAAGUAUUAUUACUUGAAAAUACAUUAUCUACUUGAUUGGUAUUCAGCAGUCAUAAAAGUAUGCCUUAAUUACUUUGAAGAAC